rnacentral:lncRNA from 1 species
AUGCCUCCAACCGUGUACAGCUCCAUGCCUGUCACAGCAUCCAACCCUGCUGGCCCCCCUAUGCCUCAUGUGGUGUUUGAGACGGGGUCUGCUCCUGCACACCAGCCUGGAGGUGGAGGGGGGCCCAUGCCUUAUUCUGUUUCUGUCCCAGCAAACAAUGCGGUGAGUGCCCUGUUGACCCACUUCAUGGCCGGCUCCAGUCCCACCACAGCAACCCAGGGGGUUCCCACCCAUAUGCCAUCACACCCUGUGUGCUCUCCAGUUGCCCAUGCUGUCAGCAAUCCCAUGCCACAGCCAGCAGCCAUUUCAGUGCCCGCAGCCUCCCUCUCUCAUGUUGUCUGCGGCUCCGCACCCUCUCCCAUUGCCCAGCCUCUCUGUGGCUCGAUGGCCACCCUACCACCCCAGCCCCUGAGCACCCCAGUAGCCCAUGCUGUAUGCUCCCCAGCCCCUUGCCCCGCGGCUUCCCCAUUGCCCCAUGCUGCACGUAGCUCUACCCCUGCAGGGCUGCACCAGGCGGGCUCCCCAGCCCCCCGCCCUGUGGGACCCCCGGCGGCCCACUCACUGUGCUCCCCAGCCUCCCGUCCUGUGGGACCCCCGGCAGCCCACUCACUGUGCUCCCCUGCCUCCAUCUCUGUGGAAGCUACAGGAGUCCGCUCUGCGAGCUCACCUGCCCCUUGUCCCGAAGACUCGUCGGCCACCUGCUUCACAUCCCCCCCAACUCCCCAGCCUCUGGCAGCUACCACUGCCCGCUCCCUCUGUAACCCUGCCUCUCACUCCAUCUCCCGGGUCGUUUGCACUCCAGGGUCUCGCUCUGUCUGCGGCCCUCAGUGGGGGCCUUCCUGUAACACCACCACCACCACCACCACCACCCGCUCAGGCUCCCUGUCAGUGUGGCCUCCAACCUCCCGCUCAACAUGGAACCUCACAGGGCGCUCAGGCUACAUCCCCUUCUCCCGCGGCUCCUACAACACACUCUCAGGCCCUCCCUAUAGCUCUUUGUCUCGUUCCUUCAACACCUUGUCCCGCUCAGCCUACAACACCCUGCCCCGCUCUACCUCUCCCUCUGCCUAUGCCACCCUGCCACGCUCCAGCUCGCGCCCAACUGGCAGCGCUCUGACCCGCGCUGGGGCCCGCUCCCCCUGGAGCCCCAACAGGAGCACUCUCUCCUACUUCAAACGCAAAUACCUGUAA